UACGUAGGGUGCGAGCGUUAAUCGGAAUUACUGGGCGUAAAGCGUGCGCAGGCGGUUCGUUAAGUCAGCUGUGAAAGCCCCGGGCUCAACCUGGGAACUGCGGUUGAAACUGGCGAACUAGAAUCUGGCAGAGGGGGGUGGAAUUCCACGUGUAGCAGUGAAAUGCGUAGAGAUGUGGAGGAACACCGGUGGCGAAGGCGGGUCUCUGGGCAGUAACUGACGCUGAGGAGCGAAAGCGUGGGGAGCGAACAGG
rnacentral:rRNA from 1 species